GGUUGCGAUCAUACCAGCACUAAUGCACCGGAUCCCAUCAGAACUCCGCAGUUAAGCGUGCUUGGGCGAAAGUAGUACUAGGAUGGGUGACCCCCUGGGAAGUCCUCGUGUUGCAACCC
rnacentral:rRNA from 1 species